UUCCAGCCACCCUGAAGGCAAGCCUGCAGCCCUUGGCACUGAGGAUGGUCUUGCAGAGUGCACCUACCUGGUGGUCCCACAGAGCCACAAGCACCUGAUCCAACACCCACCCAGCCAAGAGAAUGCAGUAUAAUGCCUAAAUUAGCUGUAUUCACAGACCAAACUCCCCAAACCGGAGGGAAAGAUAGCACUUUGCCAGAACAAGCUGUUUAAAACACCAAGUGAGUUUCUACCGUAUGACUUCGUCUAGGUGCGACAACUUGAAAAUCAAGUAAUCUACUAAGGUGACACAUCUUUUUCACAAGAGCAUGCAAAUGCCUCCUGCAAUUUUGGGACAGACCAUCCUUGUGAAUUGGCCACUUAUGCUUCUCAUCUGCUCAUUGAGAAAAAACAAAAACAAAAAACCUAAAAGAAGGCUUUUCUGUAUUUUGGAAAGAGAAUGAUAGAGGAAGCAGAUGAAGGUUUUUCUGUAUGGACUGAGAUGACCCGAAAUGAAAGCAGUUGUGCAAAAUAGCCAACUCUGAAAUCUGUCUCCAUGAUCAGGAAGGAACACACAGCACUUCCUUACUGAAGCUGGCCAGCCUGGUUGGACCUGCUCAAGCACACAAAUCAUAUUCUUCAGGCCAUCUCCAUUAGAAAACACUUCCAUCCUUCAAAAGCUCUAUCCCCUUCCUGGCACCCGUCUCUUGCAAGCAGCUCUCACCCCCUGCAAUCCAUCUUAAAAAAAAUCCCCUCUGCAGCCUGCUGGAGAUAAUUCCUCUUGCUCUGAAUCACUUUGUGCAAUUCAGACAAGUCACUGUGCUAGUAGAAUCCGAACUGAAGACCACUUCCACAGGAGUUUUAUCCUAUUGCAAACUGGCAAUACACAGGUUUAAGAACCAGCUGUGAUUCCCAGGUGAGGAGAAUGAGAAGGCUCUGUAUCUGAGGGCGAUUCCCCAGUGAGAGGAAAUGAGAAGAAUCUGAGGCACCAGAUGGCAGCAUUUUUCCCUCACUGAGUGUGAUCUCAUCCUCUCAGACUCACUCCUGGGAUCAUCAGGCUUUGAGGCUUCGUAAGCCACAAUGACCUCAGCUGAACUGCACCUUCUCUGUUGCCACCUGCUCCUUUUUCCUAAUUUUAUUGGACAUGCACAAUCCAGGCCCUUGAAGUUGUGGUUGCCUUUUCCCUGUGCAGGUCUGAGAGUCUAAAAAGAAUCAUUAACAAACAGGUAUGCAAAAAAUUUAGACCACGGAAUACGGCUCUGGCCUCUAAAUUUUCCACAUCCUCUAAAUAUUACGGAUCAUGAAGUUUAUUUGAUAUUCUUGUUAACUACAUGCUCUUUUCCAUAUACACACGUGCACAAUGUAAUACUUGUCUACAAGCAAGUUUGGCAUGUGUCCUUUUCUAUCAGUGCUUUAUUCCUUGAAUAAUAUUUCAUUAUAAACAAGUUAUGUAUGUCAAGUUAUGCGCUACUAGGCUUGUAACCUCUGUUGCAAGAACUCAAUUCUGGACAAAUAAUCUGAAUCAGAGCAGGGAUUUUUGAGAACUAAACUGCAAGAUCUGGGUUUUUUUACAGUUACAGACAUGGCCUAAAGCUUUGUGGGCUGGGAAUUCUGUUAUCUCACAAUCCUCUGUUCUGCUUCUUCCCUUCAUCCUCAUGUUAUUGCUUUCAAUGCUGCUUUGUUAGUGGUUUUGAAUUAGAAGAAAAAAACCUACACAUUAUGUCCAGCUGUAACAAACUAUUCUUAAAACAUCUACCUUUAAACUUGAAUUCUGCAGCACUGGGAUGCAAAUGUUUGUUUAUUUGAACGAUGUGACUAACACUGACAGCAUAAGAAAGGCUCUUUAUAGUGGGGUUGGAUUGCUGGGCCCCAGAGGGUGAAGGAGUAGCAGCCCUGGCUGCUGCUUUCUUUGACUGUUACUCCAUCAGGUUGCUGGUGUUUCUGCUCUGGUGACUGUGUUAAUGCUUUGCAAAUGCUAUGAGCUCAGUAGUAGACUAUUUGGGGAUUGUAUAAUUUAUUAACUUCUGACAAGCAGGCCAUUAUUUUUCUGAAGAACAUGUGUGACAAGGGACUUUACUUUUAUUUUAUUUUUCAAAUUUCAGCCAAAUUCAACAUGAGUGUCACAGGAUAGGGGCACUAGAUCCUUGACAGCCCCACCCUUCCUCUUAUUUAAUACCAAAAACUAUCUGUAAACAAGCAAGAAGGAGGGAGGGAAGAGUAAUUCUCAGAGGAAGUAUUAAGAAUCCUGUAUGAUUAAAACAUUAGGCUGUGUAA